UGGGGGUCCCACACCAUGGGGUUCCAUAUGGCUGAGCCCCAUCUAAGGUGGCCCCACAUUUAAGGUGGUCCCCAUUUAAGGUGGUCCCUAUUUAAGGUGGCCCCACAUUUAAGGUAGUCCCACGUUUAAGGUGGUCCUACAUUUAAGGUGGCCCCUCAUUAAGGUGGACCUUAUUUAAGGUGGCCCCACAUUUAAGGUGGCCCCUAUUUAAGGUGGUCCUAGAAUAUGAGCAGAGCCCCAUUUAAGGUAGCCCCACAUUUAAGGUGGUCCUUAUUUAAGGUGGCCCCACAUUUCAGGUGGUCCCUAUAUAAGGUGGUCCUAUAUUUAAGGUGGCCCCUUAUUUAAGGCUGUCUCACACUUUGAGGUUCCAUAUGGCAGAGCCCCAUUUAAGGUGGUCCCACAUUUAAGGAGAUCCCUAUUUAAGGUGGUCCCACAUUUGAUUCCAAUGGGGGUCCCACACUUUGAGGUUCCAUAUGGGGGAGCCCCAUUUAAGGUGGUCCCACAUUUAAGGUGGUCCUUAUUUAAGAUGGCCCCACAUUUAAGGUAGCGCCCCAUUUAAGGUGGUCCCACGUUUAAGGUAGCUUAAGGUGGUCCCUAUUUAAGGUGGUUCUUAUUUAAGGCGGUCCCUAUUUAAGGUGGUUCCUAUUUAAGGAGGUCCCUAUUUAAGGUGGUCCUUAUUUAAGGGGGUCCCUAUUUAAGGCGGUCCCUAUUUAAGGUGGUCCCACAUUUAAGGUGGCACCUAUUUAAGGUGGUCCCUAUUUAAGGUGGUCCCUAUUUAGGGUGGUCCCUAUUUAAGGUGGUUCCUAUUUAAGGUGGCCCCUAUUUAAGGUGGUCCCUAUUUAAGGUGGUCCCACAUUUAAGGUGGCCACUAUUUAAGGUGGUCCCUAUUUAAGGUGGUCCCUAUUUAAGUUGGUCCCUAUUUAUGGUGGUCCCUAUUUAAGGUGGUUCCUAUUUAAGGUGGUCCCACAUUUAAGGUUGUCCCUAUUUAAGGCGGUCCCUAUUUAAGGUGGUCCCACAUUUAAGGUGGUCCCUAUUUAAGGUGGUCCCUAUUUAAGGUGGUCCUUAUUUAAGGUGGUCCCUAUUUAAGGUGGUCCCUAUUUAAGGUGGUCCCUAUUUAAGGCGGUCCCUAUUUAAGGUGGUCCCUAUUUAAGGUGGCCCCAAUUUAAGGUGGCCCCACACUUGAUCCCAAUGGGGUCACUAUGUGAAUCCCCCCCAAUUUUGGGGGGUGGGGGGAUGGAAACUCCUCCUUUCUCCCCAUACCCUGAGCCUCCCCCCCUUCCCCUUUUCCCCCCCCCAGGCUUCCCCCAGCCCCGGGGGUCUCUCAGCCCUACAGGACCCCGAAUGCUUCGCUCACCUGCUGCGCUUCUAUGAUGGGAUCUGCCGCUGGGAGGAGGGCAGCCCCACUCCUGUCCUACACGUGGGGUGGGCCACCUUCCUCGUGCAGUCCCUGGGCCGCUUCGAUGGGCAGGUGGGAUUUGGGGGGGGUC